AACAAGAGGGGCCAGCAGUCGCAGCAUUUCAAUCACUCAGCCAGCUAUGAAGAUCGUCGCGCUCCUGCUCGUGGUCUGCGCCUCCGCGGCCUGGGCGAAGUGCACCUUUUUCUCAUUUGGGAAGUUCUGCAGCGAAGGCUUGAACAACAAAGAUACACCCAUCACCACAUAUAGGCCGGGAGAGGACGGCUCGCCGCUUGCAGGCAGCAUCGAACAUGCGGCUAUGCCCAACGUGCUAAGCAUUAUCAACUCGUCGCAUGUUGGUGGGGGCCGAUGAUUUUGAUCGAGCCAUGGAGUGGGCGCAAUUUUCGGACUUGUUCUGUAGUUGGGUUUUUGCAACCUUUUCAAUAACUGCCUUAAGUUAAAAUAAAAAUACAGUGUCUACGAAGUGAGCUGUGUAAACGAUGGCCGAAAUAUAAAUCAUGGCGUGAUAUUGGAGCAAACGCCUGAAUGGUCUCUGAACACUAUCGAGGGUCUCAACCCUUUUUCAGUCGCCAUAUCGAUAAAUUUGCAAUAUACGACCAUGCCAUAUAUUUUGUAAUUCCAUC
rnacentral:lncRNA from 1 species